rnacentral:rRNA from 1 species
GAUGAACGCUGGCGGCGUGCCUAAUACAUGCAAGUCGAGCGAACAGAUGAGGAGCUUGCUCCUCUGACGUUAGCGGCGGACGGGUGAGUAACACGUGGAUAACCUACCUAUAAGACUGGGAUAACUUCGGGAAACCGGAGCUAAUACCGGAUAAUAUAUUGAACCGCAUGGUUCAAUAGUGAAAGACGGUUUUGCUGUCACUUAUAGAUGGAUCCGCGCCGCUUUAGCUAGUUGGUAAGGUAACGGCUUACCAAGGCAACGAUGCGUAGCCGACCUGAGAGGGUGAUCGGCCACACUGGAACUGAGACACGGUCCAGACUCCUACGGGAGGCAGCAGUAGGGAAUCUUCCGCAAUGGGCGAAAGCUUGACGGAGCAACGCCGCGUGAGUGAUGAAGGUCUUCGGAUCGUAAAACUCUGUUAUUAGGGAAGAACAAAUGUGUAAGUAACUAUGCACGUCUUGACGGUACCUAAUCAGAAAGCCACGGCUAACUACGUG